AGUGAACGCUGGCGGUAGGCCUAACACAUGCAAGUCGAACGGCAGCACAGUAAGAGCUUGCUCUUACGGGUGGCGAGUGGCGGACGGGUGAGGAAUACAUCGGAAUCUACUUUUUCGUGGGGGAUAACGUAGGGAAACUUACGCUAAUACCGCAUAUGACCUACGGGUGAAAGCAGGGGAUCUUCGGACCUUGCGCGAUUGAAUGAGCCGAUGUCGGAUUAGCUAGUUGGCGGGGUAAAGGCCCACCAAGGCGACGAUCCGUAGCUGGUCUGAGAGGAUGAUCAGCCACACUGGAACUGAGAAACGGUCCAGAAUCCUACGGGAGGGAGCAGUGGGGAAUAUUGGACAAUGGGCGCAAGCCUGAUCCAGCCAUAGCGCGUGGGUUAAGAAGGCCUUCGGGUUGUAAAGCCCUUUUGUUGGGAAAGAAAAGCAGCAGGUUAAUACCCCGCUGUUCUGACGGUACCCAAAGAAUAAGCACCGGCUAACUUCGUG
rnacentral:rRNA from 1 species